AUUGAACGCUGGCGGCAGGCCUAGCACAUGCAAGUCGAGCGGAUGAAGGGAGCUUGCUCCUGGAUUCAGCGGCGGACGGGUGAGUAAUGCCUAGGAAUCUGCCUGGUAGUGGGGGAUAACGUCCGGAAACGGGCGCUAAUACCGCAUACGUCCUGAGGGAGAAAGUGGGGGAUCUUCCGACCUCACGCUAUCAGAUGAGCCUAGGUCGGAUUAGCUAGUUGGUGGGGUAAGGGCCUACCAAGGCGACGAUCCGUAACUGGUCUGAGAGGAUGAUCAGUCACACUGGAACUGAGACACGGUCCAGACUCCUACGGGAGGCAGCAGUGGGGAAUAUUGGACAAUGGGCGAAAGCCUGAUCCAGCCAUGCCGCGUGUGUGAAGAAGGUCUUCGGAUUGUAAAGCACUUUAAGUUGGGAGGAAGGGCAGUAAGUUAAUACCUUGCUGUUUUGACGUUACCAACAGAAUAAGCACCGGCUAACUUCGUG
rnacentral:rRNA from 1 species